UAUUUUUCAGGUAUUCAAACUGAAGAAGCUAUUCCUUUGCUUUCCAGGGUCAGAUCAUCUCUAGGAGCAGUGGGGUCAUCUCUUAAGAAGGCCAGAACCUGCCCUUUUGACUCUCUGAGCAGCACCAUGGCGGUUGGCAAGAACAAGCGCCUUACGAAAGGCGGCAAAAAGGGAGCCAAGAAGAAAGUGGUUGAUCCAUUUUCUAAGAAAGAUUGGUAUGAUGCGAAAGCACCCGCUAUGCUCAAUGUAAGAAAUAUUGGAAAGACGCUAGUCACCAGGACCCAAGGAACCAAAAUUGCAUCUGAUGGCCUCAAGGGUCGAGUGUUUGAAGUUAGUCUUGCUGAUUUGCAGAACGAUGAAGUUGCAUUUAGGAAAUUCAAGCUGGUUACUGAAGAUGUUCAGGGCAAAAACUGCCUGACUAACUUCCAUGGCAUGGAUCUUACCCGUGACAAAAUGUGUUCCAUGGUCAAAAAAUGGCAGCUUAAAUCAUUACUGAAGCUCAUGUUGAUGUCAAGACUACUGAUGGUUACUUGCUUCGUCUGUUCUGUGUUGGUUUUACUAAAAAACGCAACAAUCGGAUACGGAAGACCUCCUAUGCUCAGCACCAACAGGUCCGCCAAAUCCGGAAGAAGUUGAUGGAAAUCAUGACCCGAGAGGUGCAGAUAAAUGACUUGAAAGAAGUGGUCAGUAAAUUGAUUCCAGACAGCAUUGGGAAAGACAUAGAAAAGGCUUGCCACUCUAUUUAUGCUUUCCAUGAUGUCUUCGUUAGAAAAGUAAAAAUGCUGAAGAAGCCCAAGUUUGAAUUGGGAAAACUCAUGGAGCUUCAUGGUGAAGGCAGUAGUUCUGGAAAAGCCACUGGGGAUGAGAUAGGUGCUAAAGUUGAACGAGCUGAUGGAUAUGAACCACCAGUCCAAGAAUCUGUUUAAAGUUCAGACUUAUAAUAGUGGCAAAUAAAAUGUGUGGCAAAUAAAAUGUCUUAUUUGUGGCCAGGCGUGGUGGCUCAUGCCUGUAAUCCUAGCACUUUGGGAGGCUGAGGUGGGUGGAUCACCUGAGGUCGAGGUUCAGAACCAGCCUGGUUAUCAUGGUGAAAGCCCAUCUUUAUUUUAAAAAAUAAAGUAAAAUAAAAAAAUUAAAAAAAAAAGAAGGCCAGAACCUUCACAAUCUGCAAUACUUUAUAUUUUAUAAUAUUAUCCCCUUAUUAUCUUUGUAAUGGUUUUAUGAGAUGUAUAAUUUGCCAAUAUUUCUCCCAAGCUGUAACUUGUCUUUUCACCUUCACCUUCACAUGAGAUUUAUAUAUAUGUAUUUUUUUCUUGUUUUUUUUUUCUUUUUCACAUGAGAUUUUAUAGAAUGAAAGUUUUAAAUUUUGAUGAGGAACAACUGAUCAAGUUUUCCUUUUACAGAUCACGCUUUUGGUGUCAAGUUUAAGAACUCUGCCCAUCUCACCCAGGCGCAGUGGCUUACACCUGUAAUCCCAGCACUUUGGGAGGCUGAGGCUGGCGGAUCACUUGAGGUCAGAAGUUGGAGACCAGCCUGGCCAACAUGGUGAAACCCCAUCUCUACCAAAAAUACAAAAAUUAGGACUGGUGAUGCAGGCCUGUAGUCCCAGCUAGCAUGCCAAACUCACUCAAAGCCACUGUAAAGUGCGUUUACCCUGUCUGUGAAAAGAGUCGAACUCUGUAAAAUAUUUGAAGAGAUUUAUUCAACAGAGGCUGAGGUGGGAGAAUCACUUGAACCCAGGAAGUGGAGGUUGCGGUGAGCCGAGAUCUCGCCACUGCACUCCAGCCUGGGUGACAAUAGCGAAACUCCGUCUGAAAAAAAACAAAAGACCUCUGCCCAUCUCUAGAUUUCAAAGACUUUUUUUCUGUCUUUUUCCUACAAGUUACACAGUUUUACAUUUUGCAUUAACUUUUGUGUAAUAUGUGACUUGAGUUUCAGGCUCCGUUUUUCCCUUUGGAUCUCCACUUGCUCCAGCACCAUUUGUUGAAAAGACUAUCCUUCUCCAUUCAAGUGCUUUUGUAACUUUCUCAAAAUAAACUGCCCAUAUGUGGGUCUUCUUCUGAGUUUUCUAUUCUGUUUCAUUGAUUUAUGU